rnacentral:rRNA from 2 species
AGACCCGAAACCCGGUGAUCUAGCCAUGGGCAGGUUGAAGGUUGGGUAACACUAACUGGAGGACCGAACCGACUAAUGUUGAAAAAUUAGCGGAUGACCUGUGGCUGGGGGUGAAAGGCCAAUCAAACCGGGAGAUAGCUGGUUCUCCCCGAAAGCUAUUUAGGUAGCGCCUCGUGAAUUCAUCUCCGGGGGUAGAGCACUGUUUCGGCUAGGGGGCCAUCCCGGCUUACCAACCCGAUGCAAACUGCGAAUACCGGAGAAUGUUAUCACGGGAGACACACGGCGGGUGCUAACGUCCGUCGUGAAGAGGGAAACAACCCAGACCGCCAGCUAAGGUCCCAAAGUCAUGGUUAAGUGGGAAACGAUGUGGGAAGGCCCAGACAGCCAGGAUGUUGGCUUAGAAGCAGCCAUCAUUUAAAGAAAGCGUAAUAGCUCACUGGUCGAGUCGGCCUGCGCGGAAGAUGUAACGGGGCUAAACCAUGCACCGAAGCUGCGGCAGCGAACGUAUCACUUAAAGCGAUUCAGCGGGUUACGAUUGACGGAGCGAAGCGACGUCAAAGCGUAUACAAA